GACGAACGCUGGCGGCAUGCCUAACACAUGCAAGUCGAGCGAGUAGAUCCCUUAGGGGUGAAGCUAGCGGCGGACGGGUGAGUAACACGUGGGCAACCUGCCUCAUAGAGGGGAAUAGCCUUCCGAAAGGAAGAUUAACACCGCAUAAGAUUGUAGUACCGCAUGGUAUAGCAGUUAAAGGAGCAAUCCGCUAUGAGAUGGGCCCGCGGCGCAUUAGCUAGUUGGUGAGGUAACGGCUUACCAAGGCGACGAUGCGUAGCCGACCUGAGAGGGUGAUCGGCCACAUUGGGACUGAGACACGGCCCAGACUCCUACGGGAGGCAGCAGUGGGGAAUAUUGCACAAUGGGGGAAACCCUGAUGCAGCAAUGCCGCGUGAGUGAUGACGGCCUUCGGGUUGUAAAGCUCUGUCUUCGGGGACGAUAAUGACGGUACCCGAGGAGGAAGCCACGGCUAACUAUGUGCCAGCCGCCGCAGUAA
rnacentral:rRNA from 1 species